GCCCGUCUGUGGCGCAAUGGGUUAGCGCGUUCGGCUGUUAACCGAAACGAUGGUGGUUCGAGCCCACCCGGGGACG